rnacentral:lncRNA from 1 species
GGUUGGCCUGAGAAUGAUUUUUUUUUCUGAUUUUUUUUUAGUUCAGUUUCUGAGAGAUCCUCCAGCUCCCUCUGACAUUCCUGUAAGCUGAGAUUUCAGCUCUGUUGGGAGAASCCUUCAUCCUGUUCCCGGUUGGCAGAAGGAUUUGUCACACAGCAAGGGACACAGCUGGGCCCUGAAAGACAAGCUGGGUGGAGAGCACAGGCAGAGUUGGCUCUGACUUGCCAGUGAAAGAAAGCCUUGCAUUUGCCAGAAUGCUUUCAGAUUGUCAUCUUUGCCAGCCAAAGCAGUCUCUUCUUGUCUGCUUCCAAGAAGCAUGAGCUUAAACAACUGGUCUCAGAGUGGGGUGUAUCUACAGUCUUAGCCAUGAGGAGAGGUGAUGAAAUGUUCUCCUCUUCAGUAUAUGCAGAAGAGACUGGAGCUUAGCUCCUAUCUUCAUAACAGUAAAACUACAGUGAAAUCUGAAUUCUUUGUUCAUGUUUCACUGCCUACUUUGAGGAAAACAGUGAUCAUGAGAUCAGACGUCAGCCUCAGGGAAGGACUACUUUGCAUUCAGGAAGUUGCUCGUUUUGUGAUUAGCAUCACCAUGGCCCCGGAGGGAAGGGAUGGCACUGUCUGGAUAGAUUUCAGAUCUGCUGAGGGAACUUGCACCUGA